GCCGAAGUGGCGGAAUUGGUAGACGCGCUGGUCUCAAACACCAGUGAAUGUAUGUUCGUGCCGGUUCGAUUCCGGCCUUCGGUACCA
rnacentral:tRNA from 1 species